rnacentral:rRNA from 1 species
UACAGAGGGUGCGAGCGUUAAUCGGAAUUACUGGGCGUAAAGCGUGCGUAGACGGUUAUUUAAGUCGGGUGUGAAAGCCCCGGGCUCAACCUGGGAAUUGCAUUCGAGACUGCAUUGCUAGAGUAUGGGAGAGGGAAGCGGAAUUUCUGGUGUAGCAGUGAAAUGCGUAGAUAUCAGAAGGAACAUCAGUGGCGAAGGCGGCUUCCUGGACCAAUACUGACGAUCAGGUGCGAAAGCGUGGGGAGCAAACAGG